GGAGGAAGUCUGCGUAUUCAGAAAAAGCACAGCGUAGUCAAGCAAGUGGCACUUCAGAUUUAGUGAAAUGUAAAAAUAUCUCUGAGGACAGACACAUGGAAAUGGAGCCUACAAGCAGCAGCAACUGUAAGUUUAGUGGUCCUGACUCAGGGAAGGGACCUGGGACUUUAGGAACCUGUAGAAGAGAAUCUGCAAUAAGAAAAAGCCAAGAAUCUUCUGAAAAUUUGAGAUCUAAAUUCUUAAGACCCUCUGAUGAAGAUGAACUGUCAUUUCACAAGAGAAGAAAUUUUCAGUCAUCUACUUCACAUUCUUCAUUAGUGGCUCAGGCUUCUUUGCAUUGUGAUUUUCGAAAACCCACAGACUACAGUGAAGAAAGUUCAACAUCCUGGAGUCGAUCUGAUGGGCGAGAAGACAGGAAACCUUCAGAUCAAAAGUCAUUGGAAACCUGGAGCUGCAGUACCAAUGAGGACUCUAUAAGAGAUAGAAGAGAACAGUUACAGUCUGAGAGAGAGAGGCAUGAUCCACCAGCAAGAGGACAGCUGCAGGACAUAAUGUUGACAGUUGCUGGUCCAAAGACAGAGCCCAUCUAUCCCUUGAAUGCUGAUGAAAAGAACAAGCUGGGGGCCAAGAUUAUCAAGGCAGAAAUGAUGGGGAAUAUGGAAUUAGCUGAACAACUUAAAGCCCAACUUAAAGAGGCAAAUAAAUUUAAAGAAACCAUUAGACAGAUACCAGCAAAAAGAUCAGGGGUAGAGCAUGAAGAUGAACAAGAAGUAAUCCUUACUCGAACAGAUGAGUCUGGAAGAGUGUGGCCUGUGAGCAGCCCUAGAGAAACCCUGGAUAUGAAAGAAGAAAGAAGGAA
rnacentral:lncRNA from 1 species